rnacentral:lncRNA from 1 species
UCUCUGCCCGGAGAGAGGCCCGACAGCUGCGACCCGACUGGUUCUGUCCGAGCCCGACGGGCCGCGCUGACCCAGCGACUGUGCCUGACUGACCACAGGGAGGAGACUGUGCACAAUCAUGGAGGGCAGUGGCAAGUCUGGUGGAGAGGGAAGGAGGUCAGGAAAUAAACGAGAGAGGAAAAUUAAGAGAGUGGGUAUCAGGCAGAUUUCUGGGUGAGGCCCAGAGGAGCAUUUUUAUUCAUCCAUCCAUUCAACAAGGGACUAUGUCUUAUCCAACUUGUAUCCCUAGAGUAUAACACAACAUCUGCAUAUAAGACAGAAAGUCAGUGGAUUCAAAACGAUGAAAGUGGAUUCAAAACCUCUGUCAAGGGGUGCUGUCCUUUCCUGGCCAAGUCUCUUUUAUUCUCUUAGGGCUGCAACCUCUUCACCUGGGAAAUGAAUGGUCCUGUGAUUUACAAGAGCAGGGUCCAGGCUGAAGGUGCAGGCCCUAUCCAAGACACAACAUUUCCAGUGGCAGAGAUAAAAAAGUAAGAUUUCAGACUCAAACAUGCAAUGGCACUCCAAGUUUCUGCUUCGAACUGGCAUGUAUCUCUCUAGCUCACAUUUCAUUGGCCAAAGGAAGUCAUGUGGUUAAGCUUGACAAUGGGCUGGGGAAGUGCACUCCUUCCUCUGGAAGGUACACAAGUCACAUGGCAACUGGCUAGGAUGGAUAAUUCUCUUACUGGCCAAGGGAAGGGCAAAUAAUGGAGAAAAAUAAUACGUCAACCACAGGGGUUGAGUAACUUUCCCAAGAUCAAACCACUGGGAAGGGACAGAGGCAGAUUCAAACUCAGACAGUCUCCAAAGCCAUAGUGAACUCCAUGGCUCCCUACUGCCUGUUAGAUGGAAUCCAAAUAUAUUUAAGCUUUAGGGCAUUCCUGCAGCCUGGAGGGCCCUUCUACCUAA